GACGAACGCUGGCGGCGUGCUUAACACAUGCAAGUCGAGCGGAAAGGCCCUUCGGGGUACUCGAGCGGCGAACGGGUGAGUAACACGUGAGUAAUCUGCCCUUGGCUUCGGGAUAGCCACCGGAAACGGUGAUUAAUACCGGAUACGACCACUCCUGGCAUCAGGUGGUGGUGGAAAGUUUUUCGGCCAGGGAUGUGCUCGCGGCCUAUCAGCUUGAUGGUGGGGUAAUGGCUCACCAUGGCUUCGACGGGUAGCCGGCCUGUGAGGGUGACCGGUCACACGGGGACUGAGACACGGCCCAGACUCCUACGGGAGGCAGCAGUGGGGAAUAUUGGACAAUGGGCGGUAGCCUGAUCCAUCAACGCCGCGUGAGUGAUGACGGCCUUCGGGUUGUAAACCUCUUUCAGCAGGGACGAAGCGCAAGUGACGGUACCUGCAGAAGAAGCACCGGCCAACUACGUGCCAGCCGCCGCGGUAAUAC
rnacentral:rRNA from 1 species